UCUGUGUGCCGGUAGAAGGCACAUGAGCCUAGAGGUGAGAGUAGAGUUGUAUCUGCAGUGUGGGAUGCCGGGGAUGAAUAGCGCUAGAUGAGGUUGGAGAGGAGGACAGAGCUACAUCCCACAAACUCCAUAUUGACUCCAGAAGAAGGAGAUGAAGAAGCCUAGAUUCCAUAAUGCGGGAGUCCCAGAUCCUCAAAGUACGAUGAUUCGCCAAAUCAAGAAAUGAGGAUUAGGAAGCAGUCACCCUCGAAAGGAACUAAAUCAUCACCUUGGGAAUUGUGGCCAGUCAUGAGACAUGCAUGAGGAGACUGAAGGGGUACGUGCCUCUCAUUCCUGCUGGAACCUGGAUUCACUCAUCCACGUAUUCAGAAUGUGAGGAGAAACCAUUCUAUACCCAAUCCUCAAGUAGACAUGGAUGAUACAAAGAUUAUUUUAAAAACACAAGUUCCCGCUCUGAAGUGGUCAUCUAAGUCAUCAUAAAUCCCUGAUCAGAAGCUUGCAGAAAACAGAGACACCCCCGAAAGAAGGCAGGGUUGGCCAGCAAGUCCAGAAUAUGUGAGACUUGGAGUCCAAUGAAAUUUUUUUUCAUAUUUUGCAAUGAUAAGCUAAUGAGCCAAAGUAAGCAGGUCAUGGCACCCCCAAAAAGCUUUUCACAGUUUGCUUCUCUUGAGGAGAUUGAUUUUAAAUGUGAUGUUCAGCAUCUACCUCCAGCGAUGGAAAUGAAAGGUGGCAGCCCCAAGAGAGCCAGGAUCAAACACUGGCCUGGCCUUGCUCAUGUGGAUGCUGGGCAUUCCCUAUUCUCCAACAAGACCAGCUCUUUGGAUGCUCACCAAAAAGUCAGCUCCCUCUCCCUCUCCAAAUUUAUUUCACUCAGGCUGGUUGCACCUGAAAUAAUAAACUCUGAGGUUACAUGUCCCAAAUCACCUGUCUUCUCCAUUUCCCUCCCGCCUUGUGGCAGCCCACACUCAGUGUGAGUUCUUUAGAGAGGCAUUUGUAAACUGGGAGCAGUCUGUGUAUCGCAGGCCUGCUAUGGAGAAGUGAUCUAGCCCCUCUGAGUUUCAUUUUCCUCCUCUGUGGAAUAGGACUGAUAGGAUUGUCAAGAGGAUUAAAUUCUCCCCACUCAUCCCCAAUGGGGUAGCUCCUCCUUUUAUUAAGAUUUCAGCUUAAAUAUACUGCCUUCAGAGACCACCCAAUCUCUUUCUAUCAUGUUGCCCUAUUUCAGUUUUCUACAUAGCACUUACUAUCUUUGUUUGUUUGUUCAUAAGCUCAUUGAUUGUCUCAGACUGGAAGCCUUCAGAAAGCAGGAACUCUGUGUAACUUGUUCACUGCUGUAUCUUUAGCAUGGAGAAUAAUGCCUGGCACAUAGUAGGCUCUCAGUAAAUUUUUAUUGACUCAUAUGUGCAAAGGACCUAGUACGGUGCCAGGUACUCAAUAGGUGCUCAAUAAAUGAUAAUCAUAAUUAUUAUUUAUAAUUAUUUUUUGAGACAACACAGGAUUUUGAUUCAGAGAAUCUUACUAUAUUUAUGAAAGCGGUGAUAGGGGCCUCAUGUGAGAGGUGCCAUGACUAAUGAGGCUGGUUACUGAUUGGGGGUCAGGGAGGUGCCAGGGCAAAACAUUUUUGUUGUUAUUUCUAGUACUUCUAGUAUCAAAU
rnacentral:lncRNA from 1 species